AAUGGAUAAGGCGCCUGACUACGGAUCAGGAGAUUCCAAGUUCGAGUCCUGGCAGGGUCG
rnacentral:tRNA from 1 species